rnacentral:rRNA from 1 species
GUAACGCGUAUGCAACCUACCUAUCAGGAGGGGAACUAACCCGGCGAAAGUCGGACUAAUACCGGCAAUAAACAGGGGCACCGCAUGGUGAUAUUUGUUAAAGAAUUCGCUGAUAGAUGGGCAUGCGUUCCAUUAGGUAGUUGGUGAGGUAACGGCUACACCAAGCCGACGAUGGAUAGGGAACUGAGAGGUUGGUCCCCCACACUGGUACUGAGACACGGACCAGACUCCUACGGGAGGCAGCAGUGAGGAAUACUGGUCAAGUGGGCGGGAGCCUGAACCAGCCAAGUCGCGUGAAGGAAGAAGGAUCUAUGGUUCGUAAACUUCUUUUGCAGGGGAAUAAAGUGCAGGACGUGUCCUGUUUUGUAUGUACCCUGAGAAUAAGGAUCGGCUAACUCCGUGCCAGCCGCCGC